rnacentral:rRNA from 1 species
UACGUAGGCAGCGAGCGUUGUUCGGAGUUACUGGGCGUAAAGGGUGUGUAGGCGGUUGUUUAAGUUUGGUGUGAAAUCUCCCGGCUCAACUGGGAGGGUGCGCCGAAUACUGAAUGACUCGAGUGUGGGAGAGGUGAGUGGAAUUCCUGGUGUAGCGGUGAAAUGCGUAGAUAUCAGGAAGAACACCCGUGGCGAAGGCGGUUCUCUGGGACGGUACUGACGCUGAGACGCGAAAGCGUGGGGAGCGAACAGG